UGAAUAAGGAGUUCUCUUGGAUGCAGUCGGUCGUCCAACCCUAGGUGGUUGUCUCUAUGACUCUCCACUUCCAUCUUUGUUUUCUCCAAUACUCUUGCCCUCUACUCCAAAGUUGGAAACUCCUUGAUGCACAUAUCGGUGACCACCAGCUUGAUAUCAUCCUCAAUCCAUUCUCAAACUUCCUGCACUGUCACUUUUUGUCCAUCACCAAAGUAUGAAAUUUGAGAAGGUGUUUGAACUGAUCGGCAUACUCAGAUACCGACAUGCUCCCCUGAACUAGCUGAAGGAACUCUGCCUUCUUUGCAAACCGAACACUAUCAGGAAAGUAUUCAGUAUAAAACUUCUUCUUGAAUAUCUCCCAAGAGAUGGGAGUACCGC
rnacentral:lncRNA from 1 species